CGUGGAAACACGGNUUUCCCUUCGGGGCAGGUUCACAGGUGGUGCAUGGCUGUCGUCAGCUCGUGUCGUGAGAUGUUGGGUUAAGUCCCGCAACGAGCGCAACCCUCGUCGCAUGUUGCCAGCAUUUAGUUGGGGACUCAUGCGAGACUGCCGGUGACAAACCGGAGGAAGGCGGGGAUGACGUCAAGUCAUCAUGCCCCUUAUGUCCAGGGCUACACACGUGCUACAUUGGCGCGUACAGAGGGCAGCGAUACCGCGAGGUGGAGCGAAUCCCACAAAGCGCGUCUCGGUUCGGAUUGUAGGCUGAAACCCGCCUACAUGAAGGUGGAGUUGCUAGUAAUCGUGGAUCAGCACGCCACGGUGAAUACGUUCCCGGGCCUUGUACACACCGCCCGUCACACCACGGGAGUGAGCAACACCCGAAGCCGGUGGCCUAACCCGCAAGGGAGGGAGCCGUCGAAGGUGGGGCUCGUGACUGGGGUGAAGUCGUAACAAGGUAGCCGU
rnacentral:rRNA from 1 species